GUCAUUUUCUCUGCCAGGUUAUAUGGUCUUAGAAAAUACAUAUAGUCGCAAAUCUGAACCCCUUAUAUACACUUACAGAUUAAUGUGUGAGUUAACCAUAAUGUAACAGUUGAGUGCAGCUCUCUUACUAACAAUAAUAUCCAGCUUAAUAGAGGCCACCUGUAUUUAGCGUGCACAUCAUUUAUGUUUUAGGAGUAAACCUGAAUUAUUUGUUUUACAUGUAUCUUGGCAGAGUAAUAAUUUGAAAAAAUCACACAUAAUUAGGCUAGUUAAGAAAACAAAACUGUUGGGGAAUUUAAAUCUUUUCAUAAACUAUGGGAGAACAAAACUAACAUGUUCUGUAUACCUGGUAAAACUGAAGUUAAGAUGUCCGCAAGAAUUUUAGGAAUACUUUCAAAUACACAUUUUUCCCCAGUUUAAAAGUUAGGAAGUUACUUUGGUGGCUAUGGAAACUAUUUCUGUAUUUAUUAUUUUCCUUCUCAACAUCAUUGGAAGUAAUCUAGAAAAAAGAUAUCAGUUCCAUAUUUGAGUGUAAGGAGUAUUUUGUUGGGCACAUUUUCCCAGUGAGAUGUCCCCAGUGUCACCUGUCUUUUCCAGGAUGCUGCUCAGGUAUGCCUUCUCUCAACUCCGCUCCACCGAGAUUGCCACUAUCCACUGCAGUGCCCAGACUACUUCUCGACAUCUUCUGCAGAAACUGAGCCAGACUUGCAUGGUAAUCAGUACAAAUACUGGUCGAGUAUACAGACCAAAAGAUUGUGAAAGACUUGUUUUGUAUCUAAAAGAUAUCAACCUGCCCAAGCUUGAUAAAUGGGGGACCAGCACUUUGGUGGCUUUCCUCCAGCAGGUGUUGACAUAUCAAGGAUUUUAUGAUGAAAAUUUGGAAUGGGUUGGACUGGAGAAUAUUCAAAUUGUAGCUUCCAUGUCAGCUGGAGGAAGAUUGGGGCGACACAAGCUGACCACCAGGUUUACAUCUAUUGUUCGUCUUUGUGCCGUCGAUUACCCAGAAAGAGAACAGUUACAGACAAUCUAUGGAGCAUAUUUGGAAGCAGUUCUGCACAAAAAUCUGAAGAAUCAUUCUAUUUGGGGUUCUUCAUCAAAAAUUUAUCUCUUAGCAGGCUCUAUGGUGCAGGUGUAUGAACAGGUGCGGGCUAAAUUCACAGUGGAUGAUUACAGCCACUAUUUCUUCACACCCUGCAUUCUUACUCAGUGGGUUCUUGGCUUGUUCAGAUAUGAUUUAGAAGGAGGAUCCUCUAACCAUCCAUUAGAUUAUGUGCUAGAAAUUGUCGCCUAUGAAGCACGGCGCUUGUUUCGGGACAAAAUUGUUGGCGUGAAGGAGCUGCAUUUGUUUGAUAACAUUUUAACUUCGGUGCUCCAAGGAGACUGGGGCUCAGACAUACUGGACAACAUGGCAGAUAGUUUCUAUGUUACAUGGGGAGCCCAACAUAUCUCAGGAGCAAAGAUAGCUCCAGGACAGCCUUUACCUCCACAUGGGAAACCACUUGGCAAACUGAGCUCUGCAGACCUGAAGGAUGUCAUUAAGAAGGGUCUUAUUCAUUAUGGACGAGAUAACCAGAAUUUAGACAUUUUACUCUUCCAAGAAGUUCUGGAAUACAUGUCAAGGAUAGACAGAGUACUGAGUUUCCCUGGAGGCUCCCUUCUGUUGGCAGGACGAAGCGGCGUGGGGCGGCGGACUGUCACGUCUUUGGUCAGUCACAUGCACGGUGCUGUGCUCUUCUCCCCGAAGAUCUCCAGGGGCUACGAGCCGAAGCAGUUCAGAACCGACCUCAAGCAUGUACUGCACCUUGCAGGAAUCGAAGCACAGCAGGUAGUCUUACUUCUUGAGGAUUACCAGUUUGUACAUCCCACAUUCUUGGAGAUGAUCAAUAGCCUUUUGUCUUCAGGCAAGUGAAUGGCUUCUGUGAAGCAAAUAUAAGUACUCUGGUGCAAAUUGCCCAAGUAGAAUUACCUUGUAUAAACGUUACCUGCAUUGCUGAUGACAAUCUUGGACAUAGUUGUUUACUAAGGUCGUAAGAGCUGACACAUGGUUAUGAUUGAAGCAUCAAAAUCUCAAGCUAUAUAAAACCAAGAAGUUAGGAAUUGUAGUUAUUAACACUUCUGGUAAUGAUUGAAUAGAAUAAUUUAGCGUAGAAAUUGAAAAUCAUUUUGUAUGUAAAAUUUGUUUUGAAUUGGUGUAUGCUAGUCAAAAUAAGAAGGAAAUGUAAUAUUCUUCCACAGGCGAGGUUCCUGGACUGUAUACUCUUGAAGAAUUGGAGCCUUUGCUGUUGCCUCUGAAAGACCAAGCUUCUCAGGAUGGAUUUUUUGGACCAGUCUUCAAUUACUUCACAUACAGUAAGAGGCACAGAGUUCAUCACUAAGUUUACAUUCUAACUGGAGUAAAAUAAAUACACUUAGUAUGG
rnacentral:lncRNA from 14 species